rnacentral:rRNA from 1 species
CGGUAAUAGCUCAAAUUUGAAAUCUAACCUUUACGGGUUCGAGUUGUAAUUUGUAGAGGAUGUUUCGGAUAAGGCUUUGAUUUAAGUUUCUUGGAACAGAACGUCAUAGAGGGUGAGAAUCCCGUCUAGA